UUCACAUCAACCAUCAGAAUGGGGAAAUCUAAGUUUUGAUCUAAGUGAUUUCGCCCAUGGAAUGAUUGUUGGUGGCAGACAGGGUGGUUUGACUAUCUCAGAAACUGCUGAUCUCCUCUGAUUUUCACAUACACUGGUCUCUAGAGUUUGCAAAGAAUGGUGCAAAAAACUUUUAAAAAUCCAGUGAGCAGCAGUUCUGCAGACAGAAACAUCUUGUUAAUGAGAGAUGUGAGAGGAGAAUGGCCAGACUGGUCAAAGCUGACAGGAAGGUGACAGUAACACAAAUAUCCACACAUUACAACAGUGGUAGAAGAGCAUCUCUGAACACACAACGCAUCAUAACAUUAAAUGGAUAGCCUACAGCAGUAGAAGUCGAUCAGUUAAUCACAACAAUCUUUUUUGUGUUCCUUUCUGUUUUUCAGUGUUGUUUCUCGUGAAAGGUGCACUGCUUCUUGCCUUUGGAUUAAUUUCAUUCAUAUAUUGUCUGGUCAAAUGUAGAUGUGUGUGUCAGAAAGUCUUCCUUCUGCUUUGGUCCAUUCUUGAUAUUACAUUGAGCUUUGUAAUUCUGGACAUCAUUUUGGAAGACGAUAAAGAACUCCCUGCAUGGAUGUGUUUCAAUGUAUUCCUCUACGUCAUGACUGCCACAGUGGUCUUUCAGCA